GACGAACGCUGGCGGCGUGCCUAAUACAUGCAAGUCGAACGCUGAAGCGAGGAGCUUGCUCUUCUUGGAUGAGUUGCGAACGGGUGAGUAACGCGUAGGUAACCUGCCUUGUAGCGGGGGAUAACUAUUGGAAACGAUAGCUAAUACCGCAUAACAAUGGAUGACACAUGUCAUUUAUUUGAAAGGGGCAAUUGUUCCACUACAAGAUGGACCUGCGUUGUAUUAGCUAGUAGGUGAGGUAAUGGCUCACCUAGGCGACGAUACGUCGCCGACCUGAGAGGGUGAUCGGCCACACUGGGACGGAGACACGGCCCAGACUCCUACGGGAGGCAGCAGUAGGGAAGCUUCGGCAAUGGGGGCAAACCUGACCGAGCAACGCGGCGGGAGUGCAGAAGGGUUUCGGAUCGUAAAGAUCGGUUGUAAGUCAAGAACGGGUGUGAGAGUGGAAAGUUCACACUGUGACGGUAGCUUACCAGAAAGGGACGGCUAACUACGUG
rnacentral:rRNA from 1 species